CCGUUGGUGAACCAGCGGAGGGAUCAUUACAGGACUCGCAAGACUCCUUCACCCUGUGAACCUCACUACAAGCACGUUGCUUCGGCGGGUGUCCCGGCGGGGGUUUUCCCUCGCCGGGGCGCACAGCCCGCCGGCAGCCUACUAUACUCUGUCUCUUUGCGUUGGCAUCUCGAGAAAAAACAAACAAGUUAAAACUUUCAACAACGGAUCUCUUGGUUCUG
rnacentral:misc_RNA from 1 species